rnacentral:tRNA from 1 species
GCCCACAUAGCUCAGGCGGUAGAGCACGUUCUUGGUAAGAACGAGGUCAUCGGUUCAAAUCCGAUUGUGGGCUCCA